rnacentral:rRNA from 1 species
GACGAACGCUGGCGGCGUGCUUAACACAUGCAAGUCGAACGAGGUCCACUGAGUAGCAAUACAAGGGAAGACCUAGUGGCGAACGGGUGAGUAUCACGUGAGAAACCAACCCCGGUCUCUGGGAUAACAGUUGGAAACGACUGCUAAUACUGGAUGUCGUCGUACCCUCGCAUGGGGGGAUGACGAAAGGGUUACCGGAUCGGGACGGUCUCGCGGCCUAUCAGCUUGUUGGGGAGGUAACGGCUCACCAAGGCUUCGACGGGUAGCUGGUCUGAGAGGAUGAUCAGCCACACUGGGACUGAGACACGGCCCAGACUCCUACGGGAGGCAGCAGUGGGGAAUCUUGCGCAAUGGGCGAAAGCCUGACGCAGCAACGCCGCGUGCGGGAUGAAGGCCUUCGGGUUGUAAACCGCUUUUAACAGGAACGAAAAUGACGGUACCUGUAGAAUAAGGUGCGGCCAACUACGUGCC